rnacentral:ncRNA from 3 species
AGUUUUGCAGGUUUGCAUCCAGCU